ACACAUUCUAUGGGGAAUAGUUUUUUUAGGCUAUGAGAAAUUGUAUAAUUCGUUCUUCAAUAUUAAUAUUGUUUAUAAUAGGGAAAGUAUCAAUGAUAUGAUUAAUAAAUGUGCCGAUUGCAGUUCAUAUGUAUCAUGCACUAUUAGGAAUUAUGGCCAGCUAAUAGAAUUCGACGAUGAUACCGACAAGAUUAAGAGAUGUGACUCAAAAGUAACUACUGUUAAUGCAUUACAGAAAUGUGUGCCAAGGGUUUAUCGUAUACAUGAGCUAUUGGAGGGUUUUAUCUGCUUCUGGACGCCACAGAUGGGAUGUACAAUUGUCAUUGGCAAGCGCCAACAGCAAGGAAAUUACACUGAAAACUAUUGUGAACAAUGUAUGUUACAUUGCCCCUGUUCUGAAGGAAGUAGAGUGCAUAUAGGACUUACGGCACGAACAGCUAUAUGCAUUGGAUUGAUCUUGGGACUAAUGUGGGCACUAUAAAAUGUAAUUCCUUAGAUUUUUAACUAAUUGUGCAACACUGCAAAUA
rnacentral:misc_RNA from 1 species